GACGAACGCUGGCGGCGUGCUUAACACAUGCAAGUCGAACGGAAAGGCCCUGCGUUUGUGGGGUGCUCGAGUGGCGAACGGGUGAGUAACACGUGAGUAACCUGCCCUUGACUUUGGGAUAACUUCAGGAAACUGGGGCUAAUACCGGAUAGGAGCUCCUGCUGCAUGGUGGUGGUUGGAAAGUUUCGGCGGUUGGGGAUGGACUCGCGGCUUAUCAGCUUGUUGGUGGGGUAGUGGCUUACCAAGGCUUUGACGGGUAGCCGGCCUGAGAGGGUGACCGGCCACAUUGGGACUGAGAUACGGCCCAGACUCCUACGGGAGGCAGCAGUGGGGAAUCUUGCACAAUGGGCGGAAGCCUGAUGCAGCAACGCCGCGUGCGGGAUGACGGCCUUCGGGUUGUAAACCGCUUUCGCCUGUGACGAAGCGUGAGUGACGGUAAUGGGUAAAGAAGCACCGGCUAACUACGUG
rnacentral:rRNA from 1 species